rnacentral:rRNA from 1 species
CAGUAGCGUAUAUUAAAGUUGUUGCAGUUAAAAUGCUCGUAGUUGAAGUUCGGAUGCAGCAGAGCUUGGAAACGCUGUUAUGGUGCUUCCGUUGCUUUUGCUUGUCCACAGUGCGUUGCAAGUACGUAUGUGCUUGUGCGUGCAUUUUACUUUGAGAAACAUAGGGUGUUCCACGCAUGUUACGGCAUGAAUAUUCCAGCAUGGGAUAAUCUGGUACGACUUCCAAUCUGCCAUUUUGGUUCGUAGGUUGGAAGUAAUGAUUAAUAGGGACUGUCGGGGGCAUUGGUAUUUGACUGUCAGAGGUGAAAUUCUUAGAUUCGUUGAGGACCAAUCACUGCGAAAGCAUUUGUCAAGGAUGUCUCCAUUAA